rnacentral:rRNA from 1 species
GAUGAACGCUGGCGGCGUGCCUAAUACAUGCAAGUCGAGCGAACAGACGAGGAGCUUGCUCCUCUGACGUUAGCGGCGGACGGGUGAGUAACACGUGGAUAACCUACCGAUAAGACUGGGAUAACUUCGGGAAACCGGAGCUAAUACCGGAUAAUAUAUUGAACCGCAGGGUUCAAUAGUGAAAGACGGUUUUGCUGUCACCUAUAGAUGGAUCCGCGCCGCAUUAGCUAGUUGGUAAGGUAACGGCUUACCAAGGCAACGAUGCGUAGCCGACCUGAGAGGGUGAUCAGCCACACUGGAACUGAGACACGGUCCAGACUCCUACGGGAGGCAGCAGUAGGGAAUCUUCCGCAAUGGGCGAAAGCCUGACGGAGCAACGCCGCGUGAGUGAUGAAGGUCUUCGGAUCGUAAAACUCUGUUAUUAGGGAAGAACAAAUGUGUAAGUAACUAUGCACGUCUUGACGGUACCUAAUCAGAAAGCCACGGCUAACUACGUG